rnacentral:lncRNA from 1 species
GGGGGUGGUUAGCGUUGAGUUUCAGGUUCUAUAAGAACGGGACUAAGGAAACUCAUUACCAGGUGGUAAUCAUCUUCAUCUAUUCAAUAACACCGUUUGGUGUACACACUAAAUUGUGGCACUGGAGACUCACAUAGAACUGAAGUAACUCACCAGUUCCUAGAGGCAGGUGGGCACGUAGGGAGAGAGAGGCAGCGGCGCCUUCCAGGCGCUCUCCCUGGUACAGAGGCGGCGGGGGCCAGGGCUGUCAGGACACCCAGGCCCACGUGCCAGGCUCCGGCUCACCUGCCCGAGGGCAGAGCGGGAAGCUCCGCCCCUCGCGGAACCCCGGCCUGUGCGCAGUUCCCGUGCCCUAGGAGUUGGCGGCGGGGCCCAGCCGAGAAUCUUCUUCCCUUCUGGUCUGACUAGGAAAGCCAGAGGGAGAUGGUGAAGGAGACACAGAGAGAGUAAAAGAACAGACCAUGCCCAGCCUCUCCACUGCAGGAGCUUGGAAUCAGUGAAGCAGAGUUGCCAGCCAUCUAUGGAUCCUAACUAAAUUGGUCCUUGUAAUACUCGGUAUUAUUUGCCAAGAUAUUGAAAAACCUCUAAACAGUGAGAAGCUCCCAGCCCCUUUUCUGUGUCUCUCAUCACCAGCUGCUGUGCCCUGAGGACACCCAGGCAGCCUAAGGAGAGGCCCACAGGUGAGAAACUGCAUGUGUGAGCUGAGCUUGGAAGUGGAUCUUCUAUGUUUUGCCAACAGCCACGUGACUAGUUUUGGAAGCAGAUUCUCCAGCCCCAGCUGCACCUGUGCCAGAGGCACCCAUUAAGCCGCACCUAGUUAAAUUCCUGACCCACAAAGACUUUGAAAUCAUAAAUGUUUGUUGUUUUAAGCUGCUAAGUUUUGAAGUAAUCUGCCAUGUAGCAACAUGAAACUACUUGGACCAAAUAUGUGUUUUUCUAAGCACAGGAAUAUUCACACUUUAUUAAACUUGAGUAUUCCAACAAUAGGAUGGAAGUCCAAGUUUUAUUUCUUUGCUGGGACCCUCACAUGCAUGUAUCACAUAUGUAUCAUUAAAAAAUGAAGGACAAAUCUAAUCAGGGGAUGACUUUAUAUUGAUUUUUUUUUAACUUAGUAGAAUCAGUAAGUGAAAUGUUGUUA